GUUACACUCUUGUUUGCAAUUAGUUACAAGUAGUCUUCAAGUGGUAAACUGGUUGAACCCUAAAGAAUUAUGUGGGUGUUAGUUAUUUGGAAACUAGUAUUUUAAUCUUCCCUAGAAAUAGGGCUUUCUAUAGUUGUAACGGAGAUCUUCGGCCGGUCAAAAAGCCUAAUGAAUGAAGAUAUUGAAAUACAAUUCUUCACUACUGAACCUUACUCUCACGUGUAAUUGCAUCGAGAGUUGAAUUUAGCUCAAAAUUCAACUCCAGGUUGUAGGUACACAUUUCCCCAGCUCCUCCUAAUUUCCUGAUCCUCAACACCCUCCACCACAUCCUGACCCUUCAUGUAUCAUGUAUGUCUUUUCUGUUCCUCAUACAGGGUUCAGAUGACUGCAGGUCUGAGGCACGGGCUCCCUCCAGUAUGACGGUGGCUUGGCAUUCGGGACACCAGCUUUAGAUGGUGGCAGAGCUCUGGAGGCUGACGAAAGGAGCCGAGGUCUGUUUAGCUCCAUUCUCUUCUGCUGAGAGCUCCACUGCUCCCUCUCCACUGCUACCGUCUCCUUGCUCCAAAUAGGAUUCUCUCCUCUCCUGGCCCACUCUAGCAGAGUCUUACACACAGGCAUUCUGAGAGUUUCCUCAAAGCUUUGGCUACUACUUUCUAAGGCUCACAAACAAACCGUGAGUAAGAAGUCUCCCUCUUCUGACUCCUCCUUCCUUUGGCCACCUAGGCCCAACAGGAAAGAAAGUUACCUACAGAAGCUUAUAGUCUCUUAUGGAAACCUGUUGUUGCCAUCGAUGCCCCCCAUACCUUUCACCACUCAGAUCACUCAUGUCAACUCACCCCAUCUUGUCACUGUUGCCAGACGACAUUCGGGAAGAAUCCAUAACCCUGCCAUAGAGUAAAAACCAUGUACAAAAAAUAGAGUCAGACAUUUUGGAAGAUAAUCAGGUUCUUUUUCCCAACAGAAUUGCAGCACACAAAAAGUAAAGUCACGAGGAAACACGACAGAAACAAAAGCAUCCGUUUCAGGGUCCAGCACUGGAACCUCUGACACAGUUUCCGGGUUCUUCCUCUCAGAAAACGUUAUCUGGUUAUAUUAUCCAAAAUCAAGACUUUUCACCUCAAAACUGGCUUGGCCCAAGGUGACAACCUCAAAUGCCUCCUCAAAUGCCGCUUUCCCCAAGAGCUCAAAGGUGACAGAUCC
ensembl:lncRNA